ACAUUGCCUUCAGGCCUGUCUAUAUCAGCAUGAUGAAACUGCUCCUGUGAAUUGUUCCACCUCACAGUCUAAGACUGGCCUGGCAGCCUCUGUCACUGAGCCAAGAACCAUGGAAUGGAAUUGUCUUACAGAGUCACAGAACCACAGAAUACUCCCAGCUGGAAGGGACCCACAAGUAUCAUCGAGUUCCAGCUCCUGGCCACGCACAGGACAGCUCCAAGAGUCACACCACCUGUGCCAUGUGUAAUAAUGCAUUAAAAAAUUGCUUUUAAAGGA